GCUUUCAAGUUCUCCAUUUGGACUGUGUGUGUGCACAAGCAUAAUAACUCUGCUAAUGAUGGUGUGAGUAGAAGCAUAUGUAUGAAGAUAUCUAAUUGAUAAAUGUUAAGUAGCUGCUUCUUUUUCUUCAUCCAUACACUGUAAUGUGUAAGGAUAGAGUCCUUUUGCAAACAAGCAUUCCAAACAGGAAACAUUCCACCUUCUCCUCUUCAGAAAACAUCUAAAGGACAAAACUAAAGAAAAAACAUGGCAUACGUUCCUAUACUCAGAGCAACCUGCUGCCAAGACAGUGAAGGAAGCAGAGCAUGAACACAGCGGAUCACAGAACAUGCUCUCUUAUGUAAAUCAUUAAAGAUUUCAAAGUGAACGUUGGUAUAGUUCUUAGAAAACAUGAGAAUAAUAUUUGUGUCUAGGAAAAACGACUGCCUCAUAUCUCUAAGGGAAAAGGAAGAUUAAAGGUAAUUCCUCUUAAACGCAUUCACGACCGGCCAGGAAGAACGCAACAAACCGGAAUCUUCUGCGGCAAAACUUUAUUGCUUACAUCUUUAGGAGCAAGAGUGCAAGAGAGCAAGAGCUCUAUUGCUUACAUCUUUAGGAGCCAAAGCGCAAGAGUGCAAGAGCAAAAGCAAGAGUGCAAGCGCUUUAUUGCUUACAUCUUCAGGAGCAAGAGAGCAAGAGAGAGAAUGGCGAAA
rnacentral:lncRNA from 1 species